CUUGGCUACAUUGUGGCUUGCGGAGCAGCUUGUGCGGCGAGAGGGUCUUUGUGCCCCUUGGCCGAGACGCGGGGCCGGGAGCCGAGCCUGGGAAAGAGUUACGCCUGCGGAGCUGCUUGUUCCAAAGGGUUGUACCCUGCUUGCUCCUGCAUCUGGGACGAGCUGGGGCAAGGCUGUCUCGCCUGCACCACCUCAGAGGUUGUCAUCCAGUCCUCCUCACUUCCAUCUUUGAACCUUUUGAAAAGUUCCUUGCAUGAAGUGAGAUGAACAAAGCCCAAGCGCCGAUGUUAUUUGUGGGGGGGGUAACUAACAGCUGCAAUCUCCCAAACUUCGAUAGUACACACCUCCUGAAACUGAUGUGGUUAUUUUAACACCUCGACUUCGUGUCUACUAGCCCUGUUCCACUGGAAGCUAUUUUUGCCUGUAUUUUGUCACCUCGGUAGCAUCCGUUUAGCUUUCUCUCAAGUGAGCUGUUCUUGACCACAGAACGUGCCCUUCAGCAGUAUUGCAGGGGUGCCUGCCUGUGACAUUCCCUACAUUUCCCUUGCUUUUGUGAACAGCCUGAGCAUAAACAUGGCCAGGGCAGGGAGAGAUACUGCGAUGUGUGAUGGGAUUUGGAUACCUGCCUUCUUCGGGGGGGCUACUUGAAAAUCCCUGCCAAAAUCUUGUGUUUCCUUUAGAUUCCUUUGCUUAAAGGUGUGGGAGUUUUCCGCUCGGAAGAGCUUGCUGAAAAACAAAUGGGUAUUCUCAUUAGGGUUAACGUGUUUAAUUUCCACUUCCAAUGUUCCAUUUGUUUUUUUCUGUUAGCGUUUAACUGCUGUGACACAAACCCACUUCAUGCGAGCUGUCCAAGACUGUCUGCUCAGUGGAAAACAGAUUGGCUCUCCUUACCUCACCAGUGUCUGUAGGAAAGAGCAGCACUGAAGAUACAGCAACUUUGGAACACAAAGAUAGGACACUUGAGGGCAGGACGUCUCCAAAAUGCAGCCCAAAAGGCAGACUCAUAAACUGAAAUCCAGAAGCGUUUGAUUUCUUCAUGAAACACUCUUGUUGCUCUUUAAAAGCACAGUAAAAUAAACCAUGAAUUAAACAGAGCAAACUCAUGCAGUUCUGUUUGAGAGGGCUCCAAAGUGGAGCAAAUGAUACGUGUGUUUUGUCACCUCAAGGUUAAUGACCAGUUGUUGCUGAAUCACUGAUACUUCUCACUAAAGCUUUAGGCUGGAUACCUCUGAAUUCUGGGCUAAAUUUCACAUAAUUACAUGCUGUUAUGUUCCUCUCCUUUAUUUUUUUUUUCCAUUAGGAAAAAUAUUUGUUAUUAUUUUCUCUCAGCUGUUACUUAAGCUGUUUUCUGAUGUGAAAUGGUCACUGUAUUUUAUAGCACAGGUAGUCUGCCAUGGGAGGUUUGUAAUGAGAAGAGACUUAAUUAAAUUAGUUUGAUGGUAUCAUGAUAAAUCAACCCCCUCAGUCCUAACAGUGAAGUACAAUAGAGCUAGCAGCAAACAAUGUUGCUCAGUGCUUUUCUGUUCUAGUUUCCAGUUGCUCGUAACUGCUAGCCUGAACUGAAAUUUCCCCUGCUGGAGAUCUGAUUACAUCUGUUUUAUUUUAGCUUCUUUUUGGUUGUUUUGUUUAGUAUUAUGAUUAGUUUGCUUUGUUUUUUUGGAAGUUCCAUCAAGCCAACUGCACGGAUGAGUUUAGGGGAAAAUACAUGU